UUAGGUCAAGCUACAAAGGGCGCAUGGUGAAUGCCUUGGCAUCAGGAGCCGAUGAAGGACGCGAUAAGCUGCGAUAAGCUUCGGGUAGACGCACAUAGUCAGAGAUCCGAAGAUUUCCGAAUGAGGAA
rnacentral:rRNA from 1 species